AGCCCACGAAUGCUCUCCUUCUCAACAUUUUGCUAAUUUACUGUUGGGAAUAUGCAUGGGUUGUGGUCUUGGGAUGCGAAGGCUGAUCAGAUGAUAUUUUAACUUGUAAGCACCUCAUCACCAACCUCUAUGUCUAUCCCGCACAUUCAUAUAUGCACAGCCAUUGUAUUCACAUAUAUUAUUAUUAAUGUAUCUCGGGGGAAUAUCCCUUCCCUCCUUG
rnacentral:lncRNA from 1 species